UGGGGAAUCUUGCGCAAUGGGGGAAACCCUGACGCAGCGACGCCGCGUGCGGGAUGAAGGCCUUCGGGUUGUAAACCGCUUUCAGCAGGGACGAGGCCUUAUGGUGACGGCACCUGCAGAAGAAGCUUCGGCUAAAUAUGUGCCAGCAGCCGCGGUAAUACGUAUGGAGCAAGCGUUAUCCGGAUUCAUUGGUCGUAAAGCGCUCGUAGGCGGUAUGUUAGGUCGGCAAGUUAAAUCCGGGGGCUCAACCCCCGUACGCUUCCUAUACCGGCAGACUUGAGUUUGGUAGGGGAAGGUGGGAUUACUAUUGUAGCGGUGGAAUGCGCAGAUAUUAGGAAGUACGCCGGUAGCGAAGGCGGCCAUCUGAGCCAUAACUGACGCAAAGGGGCGAAAACUGGGGGAGCGAACAGG
rnacentral:rRNA from 1 species